rnacentral:lncRNA from 1 species
CUGGGAUUACAGGCAUAGGCCACCACGACUGGCUAAAUUUUUUUUUUUUUUGUAUUUUUAGUAGAGACGGGGUUUCACGAUGUUGGCCCGGCUGUCCUCGAACUCCUGGACUCAAGUGAUCUGCCGUCCUUGGCCUCCCAAAGUGCUGGAAUUACAGGCGUGAGCCACUGCACCUGACCUCCAUUUUCCUCUGGUCUUUCAGAGAGCCCAGGCAGAAGCUAUUAUCAUCAAAGAUGGGAUUUCGGAUGUUGGAAUCAUGAGGCUUUUGUUUAAGAGUUGCUUAAGAUGUUCUUCAGAUCCUGAAUUCCAGCAGAACAGCUGACAUCCACAACCAGUUUGAGGAUCCCCACAGAAGAGCUGAAUCAACAUGAGAAUGCAGUUUCUUCAUCUCUCCAGUCCAUGACUUCACCCUGCAAUCCCCACAGAAGAGCUGAAUCAACAUGAGAAUGCAGUUUCUUCAUCUCUCCAGUCCAUGACUUCACCCUGCAAUCCCCACACCUCAGCCCACUCCAAACCCCUUACAAACUCCUCAGGGAGGCAAAUCUGAGGUUUCCUUCCAUCUCCUUGUUCAGAUGCCCUAUGAUUAUUAAACCCUUUCUCUGCUGCAAUCCUUGAGGUCAGUGUGUCCACUUGCCAUGCUUUAGGUAAGGAACCUGUUACAGUCACACUUCCAUGUCCUCUUCCACGGUGCCACUCUCCCACCACAUCAAUGUUACCAACCCAGAAGCUCUCUAAAUUUCACUGUUCAAGAGUAUUUAUCAAAGCUUUGUUUUGUAGGUGUGUUUGAUCAAAUCAUUGGCCAUUGGUGAUUGAGCUCAAUCUCCAGCCUUUCUCCCCUCCCGGGAGGUUGGAGGGUGGGGUUAAAUGUUCAACCCUCUGAUCCCAUGUUUGGUCUUUCUGGGGACCAGUCCCCAACCUAAAUCUAUCUAAGGCCACCCUGAGUCACCUCAUUAACAUAAACUCUAGUAUGGUCAAAAGGAGCUCAUUAUGAAUAACAAAAGAUACACCUAUCACUCAAGAAAUUCUAAUAAUUUAGGAGCUCUGUGCCAGGAACUGGAGGCAAAUAAAGACCAACUAUAUUAUACCACAACUCAACACCAUUAAUUUGAUUUAUAAAGCUAUGAAGUUAGACAGUGAGACAAACUUUCCUGAACCAUGUACGCAAAGACCACCCCCAAAAUUUCCCCCAAAGUUACUUCCCGAAGAAGCUUUGUCAAAAUUUCCAUUAGAAGUUAUUUUCGGCCAGAUGCAGUGGCUCAUGCCUGUAAUCCCAGCAAUUUGGGAGGCCGAGGCAGGCAGAUCAUGAGGUCAGGACUUCAAGACCAGCGUGACCAACAUGGUG